UAUGGCCAUAUCAUGUUGAAACACCAGUUCCCAUAUGAUCAGACACAUUAAGCAAUGUAGAGCUUGGUAAGUACCAAGAUGGAUGACCACCUGGGAAUACCAGGUACAGU